rnacentral:lncRNA from 1 species
CUUGGCUGUGGGAGAUGGAGAGGAGCUCAGUGCUACUGGGAGCACUGAGGUGGGGACGUGGCUACCGACCGAUGGCAGAAGAUGGAGAGAGGCGCGCAUGGCAGCGCAGCAGCCACUUGGCCCAGUAGUGGGAGCAGAGCUCGGCGUUCAGGAAGUGGGCAUGUGCGGGGGGAGCCAUCCUUGUAGGCCACCACGAUCAGGCCGCACUGCACCUGCGCAGAGAUGGGCGAUGCCAGGGUUCCUGUGAGCCCACAGCUCAGGUUUGUUACUUCAGGACCACAUCACCCUCAAGAGCGUCUCCUGACUACAGGAAAAUCUACCUCCAAGGUGGUGGUGACUAAAGACUGUACAUGGUGCUGGGUGUGGUGGCCCACGCCUGCAAUCCCAGUACUCAGGAGGCUGAGGCAGGGGCAUCACUGUGAAUUUGAGGCCAGCCUGGACUACACAGGGAGUUCAAGAUCACCCUGAACUACAUGGACGAGACCUUGACUCAAAAGCAUAAAGAAAUAAAGACUGCACCCAAGGCACAUGGGGAUACCAAGAUGCCAGGCACAACACUGAAGAAUGGACUAGGAGCAGGAGGAACAGAGGAAAGAAGCCAGGGAAGGAAGAAACGGUGGUUCUCAGGCGGGCGUGGGACCCCUGGGGUGGAAAGCACCACCUGACCUGGAAGCUGUAGUUGGCAUCGUGGUUCAGGGCACCCAUGUACGCCACCACCUGCAGUGGGUUAUCGUAUGUGUUCUGGAGGAAGGGCUUGGCUUCUCUGAUGUCUUCCAGUCGAUCACGCACAGCUUGCCUCUACGAUACCAGAGAAGUAUCUGCAUAUUGGGUCAGACC